rnacentral:lncRNA from 1 species
AGAAGGAGCAAUCUGAAACUCCUUUCAGCCUUCCAACGCAAACAGCCCAUGCUCACAAGGAACAAAUGGUGUUCCAAGCACCUAAACCAAAGGAGCAUGCAGAUCAAUGUCUUCCCAAACCUCCGGAUAAGGUAGAGUUUGUUUUACCAAAUUUUAGUACUAAAUUGCAGCUACACAUGGAGAAACAUGAAUUGGAGUUCAAAGUUCUGCCCAAUCAUCUCAAGAAUGCAAACAUAAGGGCUAAAGGCACACCUCAUCUGAAAGAAGAGAAGCUAAUCAUGU